rfam:Bombyx mori DNA, contig: Bm_scaf54_contig27541, strain: p50T/Dazao, build 2, whole genome shotgun sequence.
AAAACGGCUCUUUUCAGGGCCACAUUACGAUCUAUACAGUUUCUCU